ensembl:lncRNA
UUUUUCAAUGAAAAUGUAAUUCUUUGGGAGGUGUUGGAAUGAGAGCUCUGAAAGACCAAGUCCUCUCACCCAGGAGCAGGUUUUUGCAAUGUUCAGCAGCGGAAUCUCUGAGUGAACGUUUUCUCCCCACAAAAUUUUAUUUGCCUGCUUCACAGUCCAGCGCUAGUGCUGUCAGGUACUACGUGCCAAAGGAAACACUGGAGGUAAAACUGACACCAUAUGAACUCCAAAAAAGCCAAGUUUAUCUGCACAGACAGCUACUCGCUGCUGAGUCUUCACCUUUCAGUGAAAUGACCAGAUGUCUCAGAAAGCCUGGAGCGAUGCUGGCAUCAGGAGACUUCGCCCCCAUCCUGAGUGACUGCCGACUGAGAUGCCAAUAUGUUCUGGGCUGUGGAAGGACUCCCUCUGGAAAGCAAAAGAAUGCAGCGACCUACUGUGUCCCUCAUACACUAAGGUUAUUGAGGAACAACCCUUUUGUGUCAGACUCAUAUCUGGAAACAUAUACCCAGUUCCAAGUAUCUGGAUGCACUGGAGAGCUCCUCAAAGGGGAUUUCAGAUGGAUCCUCAAUAAAAUCCUCCACGAGACUCCUUUUGUGUAGAAGAAAUAACGCUUUUCAUCCAGAACGAGGGAAUCCUGCAGAUGAACAGUCUACCCCUAGAGGUCACUGCGAUCCAGGGAUUUUAAGGCUGAAAACGCUGACAAAACAGCAUGAUUCAAAAGGACUCCGAGAUCUCAUCUCUGGCAAGCAAAUCACCGGAGAGUCUUCAGCUGAAGACAUCUGUGAUUUCUACCACGAGAAACCUACCAGAGUGAGCAAGGACAGCCCUGGACACCUACAGCGUCUCAAUCAGAGGGUGACAGACGUUGCAACAGCAUACAGACCGUCUUCAGUAUGCUGCUGUCAGUCACUGGUGACUGAAGCUAUUCGUGGUCCAUAAUAAUGCACAGCUGCUCUGCAGGAGAAAUACCAAAGCUAAACAAACACUGCGCAGCACUAAUCAUCUAAUUUGGUUUUGGCAUUCUUAAAGUUCUGAUAAAUUCAUUUUAAAUAAGAGAGAUUGUUUUUCUUUCCAGUACAUUGAAGUGAUUUCAUGGGUUGUGUAACCUUCUUCCAAGCAAAUCAUACUUUCUGUGGACUUUUCCGAGACUGUUCGCUGAGACUUUCCUUCUUAUGAUGUUUACUGUUAACCGUUUGGAAGCGCAACAGAAAAUGAUGGGGGUUUAUUUCUCACUAUGAAGUACACUGUAAAUUUGAAAAAAUGAAAGCAGGGAACAGCUAAGUGAGAAUUAUUUUUUUUAUAUAUAACGUGUUCACCAGUUUCCUGGGCAAAGUUUAGAUAUAAUACAACAGGGGGGCAAUUUCUUCAGGAGAGCUUCUGGAUAAAAAAAGGCUGUUACUGUUGGCUCGUGUUGUUCUUGACUACCUUAGAAUGAGGAAUAUGGUAGAGUCCUCCAACUCCACAUACUGCAAAUGAGGGCUUGGUCAGAGUCCCUGGUAAGGAGUUAGCAUUUGAUUUCAGAAGAAGCAUGACUGGCUCUAGGAAAUGAGGAAAGCAGUUAUCUCUCUGCUAGAAAAACAGCUCAGGGAAAAAGACUGUCUUCUUUUGGGCUGAAUUUGUGCCUUUUUGGAGUCCAUGCUACAGUCUUUGGUAAAAUUGGGAUUUCACCACUAAUACUGCUUAACCCAUCUUUCAUUAAAAAAAAAAAAAAAAAAGAAAGAAAAAAAGAAAAAGCCUUCCUCUCCCCUCUUCCAUAUACUCGUGCAAUAUGCCCACUUGCACAUCA